GUCAUCGUAGCUUAAUAGGUAAAGCGCUGACCUAACAAUGUCAGAGAAUGGGGUUCGAAACCUUACAUGAUG
rnacentral:tRNA from 1 species